AGGAGGCGAGUCUCCGGGGCAGUGGAAGGGACGGAAGGGUCUCUGAAAUCUUCGUGCCCUGCCUGUCAACCGGGCUCUGAUUGGUGCAGAACGCAGCGCCUGCCUCUCCUCCCUCGCUGAGCCAGAAGGGAGCGGGCUGCCCAACGCUUGCUUUUUUUUUUUUUUUCAAAUGUUUUUUGUGACUGGGUCUCCUGUCCACUAGGUCUGGAAAUCACGUCCCCCAUGCAUCCAGAGACGGGUCUUGCCACAGCCUCCCAGGAGACAGGGUCUCAUGGAGGACUCAGUGGCUGGCCUGAACCUCAUUAUGAAGAUCAGACUGACCUCAAACUCAGAGAUCUUCUGCCUCUGCCUCCUGAGUGCUGAGAUUAAAGGGGAUCGGAUGCCCUCUUUGAGCCUCUACGGGUAUAAAGAAAUAAAACAAAAUCAGAGAUGGAGAGAUGGCUCCGACAGCAAAAGAAUGCAUUUCUCCUUCGUAAGAAUCCACAUUCAGUUCCCAGCACCAGUGCAGGCAGCUCACAGCUACCUGUA